GACGAACGCUGGCGGCGUGCUUAACACAUGCAAGUCGAACGGAGUGGCGAACGGGUGAGUAACACGUGGGUGAUCUGCCUUGCACUCUGGGAUAAGCUUGGGAAACUGGGUCUAAUACCGGAUAGUGCAAGGUGAGCUCGCGGCCUAUCAGCUUGUUGGUGGGGUAAUGGCCUACCAAGGCGUCGAGGGGUAGCCGGCCUGAGAGGGUGUACGGCGGCAUUGGGACUGAGGUGCGGCCCAGACUGCUACUGUGGCCAGAUGUGGGGAAUAUUGCACAAUGGGCGGAAGCCUGAUGAAGCGACGCCGCGUGUGGGAUGACGGCCUUCGUGUUGUAAAAUCCUUGCGACAGGGACGCGGUACCUGUAUAAGAAGCACCGGCUAACUACGUGCCAGCAGCCGCGGUAAUUC
rnacentral:rRNA from 1 species